GAGGAGGAGAGGUCGCUGGCCGAGGAAUAGUUGCAAGGACGACGGCCACCACGGUAAUGUAGGUGAGGUUCUUGUGAGGGUAGGAGGUGGCCGAGCAGUCUCCGACUCCGGAACAGGCAGCAGCGACACCGAAGGAGAGGUAAGCAGCAGCACUACCCUUUCUAACUGAACAGAAAAGAGAAGGCUUCGACAGAGCUGCCUACAUCCGCAAGGAAGAUGGCUCUGAUACCAUGAUAAAAAUUAAACGAAGAAUAUAGAAAGAUAGAAGUUGUAGAAGAAACUAUGAAAUGUAUAAGAUGUAAUUGUCUAGUUCAUUUUGAUAGUGAGCUCUUGAUAGCUAUUUAUACACAUUCAGCAUGGAGGAUUUUUCUCAACUGCUUAGAGAUUUCCUCAACUGCCUUGAGGAAAUCUUAUCUACUUAUCA
rnacentral:lncRNA from 1 species